AAUUAGCCCUGAUUGAAGUGUAAAGCCCGGAACCCGAUCCUUCAUCGGGAGAGGACUUGUAACGGAAAGCAGGAAUGCCG
rnacentral:sRNA from 1 species